rnacentral:rRNA from 1 species
AACGAACGCUGGCGGCAUGCCUAACACAUGCAAGUCGAACGAGAUCUUCGGGUCUAGUGGCGCACGGGUGCGUAACGCGUGGGAAUCUGCCCUUUGGUUCGGAAUAACAGUUGGAAACGACUGCUAAUACCGGAUGAUGACGAAAGUCCAAAGAUUUAUCGCCAGAGGAUGAGCCCGCGUAGGAUUAGCUAGUUGGUGUGGUAAAGGCGCACCAAGGCGACGAUCCUUAGCUGGUCUGAGAGGAUGAUCAGCCACACUGGGACUGAGACACGGCCCAGACUCCUACGGGAGGCAGCAGUGGGGAUUAUUGGACAAUGGGCGAAAGCCUGAUCCAGCAAUGCCGCGUGAGUGAUGAAGGCCUUAGGGUUGUAAAGCUCUUCUACCCGGGAUGAUAAUGACAGUACCGGGAGAAUAAGCUCCGGCUAACUCCGUGCCAGCAGCCGCCGUAAUAC